GACGAACGCUGGCGGCGUGCUUAACACAUGCAAGUCGAACGGAAAGGCCCUGCUUUUGUGGGGUGCUCGAGUGGCGAACGGGUGAGUAACACGUGAGUAACCUGCCCUUGACUUUGGGAUAACUUCAGGAAACUGGGGCUAAUACCGGAUAGGAGCUCCUGCUGCAUGGUGGGGGUUGGAAAGUUUCGGCGGUUGGGGAUGGACUCGCGGCUUAUCAGCUUGUUGGUGGGGUAGUGGCUUACCAAGGCUUUGACGGGUAGCCGGCCUGAGAGGGUGACCGGCCACAUUGGGACUGGGAUACGGCCCAGACUCCUACGGGGGCAGCAGUGGGGAAUAUUGCACAAUGGGCGGAAGCCUGAUGCAGCAACGCCGCGUGCGGGAUGACGGCCUUCGGGUUGUAAACCGCUUUCGCCUGUGACGAAGCGUGAGUGACGGUAAUGGGUAAAGAAGCACCGGCUAACUACGUG
rnacentral:rRNA from 1 species